AGUCUGGCCUGCCCCUGGGGUUUUUAAAGGCCGCGGUAUUAUGACCGUGCGAAGGUAGCAUAAUCAUUAGUCUUUUAAUUGAAGGCUGGAAUGAAGGGUUGGACGAGAAAUUAACUGUCUAGUGUUUUGAAGAUUGAAUUUAACUUUUAAGUGAGAGGGCUUAAAUGAAUUAGAGGGACGAUAAGACCCUGUAAAGUUUGUACAUCAGGGUUAAUGGGUAGUGAUUUAGGUUAAUAAGGCUAACUCUUAUGGGGGUGUUUAGUUGGGGCGACUAGGAUAUAAGUUAUCUAACUGUUUCUUUGUUGGAAUCAAUAAUAUUUGAGUUUAUGAUCCUCUUUAAGGAUUUCAGAAUAAAUUACUUCAGGGCAUAACAGCGUAAUUUUUUUUGAGAGUUCUAAUCGACAAAAGAGUUUGCGACCUCGAUGUUGAAUUAAAAUUUCUUUGUGGUGUAGCAGUUACAAGAGAAGGUCUGUUCGACCUUUAAAUUUUUACAUGAUUUGAGUUCAGACCGGCGUGAGCCAGGUUGGUUUU
rnacentral:rRNA from 1 species